rnacentral:rRNA from 1 species
GGGUUGUGAGGUUAAGCGACUAAGCGUACACGGUGGAUGCCCUGGCAGUCAGAGGCGAUGAAGGACGUGCUAAUCUGCGAAAAGCGUCGGUAAGGUGAUAUGAACCGUUAUAACCGGCGAUGUCCGAAUGGGGAAACCCAGUGCAAUUCGUUGCACUAUCGUUAACUGAAUACAUAGGUUAACGAGGCGAACCGGGGGAACUGAAACAUCUAAGUACCCCGAGGAAAAGAAAUCAACCGAGAUUCCCCCAGUAGCGGCGAGCGAACGGGGAGCAGCCCAGAGUCUGAAUCAGCUUGUGUGUUAGUGGAACGGUCUGGAAAGUCCGACGGUACAGGGUGAUAGUCCCGUACACCAAAAUGCACAGGCUGUGAACUCGAAGAGUAGGGCGGGACACGUGGUAUCCUGUCUGAAUAUGGGGGGACCAUCCUCCAAGGCUAAAUACUCCUGACUGACCGAUAGUGAACCAGUACCGUGAGGGAAAGGCGAAAAGAACCCCGGCGAGGGGAGUGAAAAAGAACCUGAAACCGUGUACGUACAAGCAGUGGGAGCACCUUCGGGUGUGACUGCGUACCUUUUGUAUAAUGGGUCAGCGACUUAUAUUCUGUAGCAAGGUUAACCGUAUAGGGGAGCCGCAGGGAAACCGAGUCUUAACUGGGCGUUAAGUUGCAGGGUAUAGACCCGAAACCCGGUGAUCUAGCCAUGGGCAGGUUGAAGGUUGGGUAACACUAACUGGAGGACCGAACCGACUAAUGUUGAAAAAUUAGCGGAUGACUUGUGGCUGGGGGUGAAAGGCCAAUCAAACCGGGAGAUAGCUGGUUCUCCCCGAAAGCUAUUUAGGUAGCGCCUCGUGAAUUCAUCUUCGGGGGUAGAGCACUGUUUCGGCUAGGGGGUCAUCCCGACUUACCAACCCGAUGCAAACUACGAAUACCGAAGAAUGUUAUCACGGGAGACACACGGCGGGUGCUAACGUCCGUCGUGAAGAGGGAAACAACCCAGACCGCCAGCUAAGGUCCCAAAGUCAUGGUUAAGUGGGAAACGAUGUGGGAAGGCACAGACAGCCAGGAUGUUGGCUUAGAAGCAGCCAUCAUUUAAAGAAAGCGUAAUAGCUCACUGGUCGAGUCGGCCUGCGCGGAAGAUGUAACGGGGCUAAACCAUGCACCGAAGCUGCGGCAGCGACACUAUGUGUUGUUGGGUAGGGGAGCGUUCUGUAAGCCUGCGAAGGUGACCUGUGAGGGUUGCUGGAGGUAUCAGAAGUGCGAAUGCUGACAUAAGUAACGAUAAAGCGGGUGAAAAGCCCGCUCGCCGGAAGACCAAGGGUUCCUGUCCAACGUUAAUCGGGGCAGGGUGAGUCGACCCCUAAGGCGAGGCCGAAAGGCGUAGUCGAUGGGAAACAGGUUAAUAUUCCUGUACUUGGUGUUACUGCGAAGGGGGGACGGAGAAGGCUAUGUUAGCCGGGCGACGGUUGUCCCGGUUUAAGCAUGUAGGCUGGUUAUCCAGGCAAAUCCGGAUAAUCAAGGCUGAGGUGUGAUGACGAGGCACUACGGUGCUGAAGUAACAAAUGCCCUGCUUCCAGGAAAAGCCUCUAAGCAUCAGGUAACAUCAAAUCGUACCCCAAACCGACACAGGUGGUCAGGUAGAGAAUACCAAGGCGCUUGAGAGAACUCGGGUGAAGGAACUAGGCAAAAUGGUGCCGUAACUUCGGGAGAAGGCACGCUGGUGUGUAGGUGAAGUCCCUGCGGAUGGAGCUGAGACCAGUCGAAGAUACCAGCUGGCUGCAACUGUUUAUUAAAAACACAGCACUGUGCAAACACGAAAGUGGACGUAUACGGUGUGACGCCUGCCCGGUGCCGGAAGGUUAAUUGAUGGGGUUAUCCGUAAGGAGAAGCUCUUGAUCGAAGCCCCGGUAAACGGCGGCCGUAACUAUAACGGUCCUAAGGUAGCGAAAUUCCUUGUCGGGUAAGUUCCGACCUGCACGAAUGGCGUAAUGAUGGCCAGGCUGUCUCCACCCGAGACUCAGUGAAAUUGAACUCGCUGUGAAGAUGCAGUGUACCCGCGGCAAGACGGAAAGACCCCGUGAACCUUUACUAUAGCUUGACACUGAACAUUGAGCCUUGAUGUGUAGGAUAGGUGGGAGGCUUUGAAGCGUGGACGCCAGUCUGCGUGGAGCCAACCUUGAAAUACCACCCUUUAAUGUUUGAUGUUCUAACGUUGGCCCUUACCGGGGUUGCGGACAGUGUCUGGUGGGUAGUUUGACUGGGGCGGUCUCCUCCCAAAGCGUAACGGAGGAGCACGAAGGUUAGCUAAUCCUGGUCGGACAUCAGGAGGUUAGUGCAAUGGCAUAAGCUAGCUUGACUGCGAGCGUGACGGCGCGAGCAGGUGCGAAAGCAGGUCAUAGUGAUCCGGUGGUUCUGAAUGGAAGGGCCAUCGCUCAACGGAUAAAAGGUACUCCGGGGAUAACAGGCUGAUACCGCCCAAGAGUUCAUAUCGACGGCGGUGUUUGGCACCUCGAUGUCGGCUCAUCACAUCCUGGGGCUGAAGUAGGUCCCAAGGGUAUGGCUGUUCGCCAUUUAAAGUGGUACGCGAGCUGGGUUUAGAACGUCGUGAGACAGUUCGGUCCCUAUCUGCCGUGGGCGCUGGAGAAUUGAGGGGGGCUGCUCCUAGUACGAGAGGACCGGAGUGGACGCAUCACUGGUGUUCGGGUUGUCAUGCCAAUGGCACUGCCCGGUAGCUAAAUGCGGAAGAGAUAAGUGCUGAAAGCAUCUAAGCACGAAACUUGCCCCGAGAUGAGUUCUCCCUGAGACUUUAAGUCUCCUGAAGGAACGUUAAAGACGAUGACGUUGAUAGGCCGGGUGUGUAAGCGCAGCGAUGCGUUGAGCUAACCGGUACUAAUGAACCGUGAGGCUUAACCUUACAACGCCGAAG